AGUGGAAGCCGAGGGCCGCCGCGGUUGCAAGAACUGGGCUGUGGUGCACGCCGAAGCGAACCAUGGGCUAAUAGAGCGAAGGUAGUGCUUGGAGUUCGAAGGAAAGUUUGCCAGAGUUCACGUCUCGUGGGGAACUUCACUGUGUCGACGAUGGCCAGCCUCGUCGUUGAUUGUGUCGAUGGCCAGCCUCGUCGUUGAUUGAGCAUCGCGGCCAAGUCUGUUGUGACCGGGAUUCUUCAACACGUUCCACCUCGAGGUAUGGAUCCAAAUGCUAGCAGCAGCAUCUCUCAACUACUUCCGCGUGAUGCGAUGGUGCUGGGUACGUAGAUGUGCUUCCGCUCUCUGCUGCAUGCCGUUGUAGGCCAUCCUAUUGCCUCUCACGCCCUGAAACCGGGUCUCCGGCUAACCACCUAGCUUGCGGACAAACUCUCGCCGACGAAGGUUCACCGUGCCGCGUGGACAGCUUCGCCUUGCCUCCUAACCUUCGGUAAUGCCCCUUGGAUCAAUUCGACACCUUCUCUGCAUUGCUUAGCACCUAGUUACGCUUGGAAUCAAGCCCUGGCAUGAUAAUUGGGUGCUCCGCGGUCAUGGCGCCGCCGUGGGUAGGGCCGGCGUGCUGCCGUAUUCCGGCUGGGAGGAAGAAAACUGGCAGCCAUUGGAUUGGAAGUUGACGGUUAGGAUGGGUUAUGGGAAGGAUGUACCGUGGACCGUUGAUCGCGGAAUGGACGUAUCGGAUUAGAUUCACGUAUACCCGUUCGACUCAUUAAAUCCAGGGCGUAGAUCUUGGAUCCUAGGGCUCGGGUUGCGUACCGAUUUGUGCGCGGCCAGAUUUAAUCGUGACCUUUGGUUUGGAUCGGACGGCUCUGAAUCAACGAUACCCCUUCGCCCUGGCUUUCUUUCUAAAGAGACCCCGGAAAACUUGCUAUUCAACCCGCGGUCUAUCGCCUGGGUUCUCUGUGUCUUGGUGCACUUUGCGCCAGGGCCCCUGCACUUCCUAAUAUUAGUGGGCCCAGUCCAGAGUAUUAUAAAACAGAGAAAAUAAUUUAUAAAUGGGUUUUUAAUAGAUAAAUAAAUGCUAGAACUUGUUUAAAUCAUAGAAAAUCCAUUUUUAGUCCAAAUUAAUCCAUUCCACUUUCUAAAAUUUUGUAAUUUUAUUAUCUACCACCUAGAGCCUCUGUUUUGUCAUGAAAACAAUUAGAAAUUUAAUCUCUCACUUAAUCCAUUCUAAGCACAUAGAAUCUUUGGAAAUCCAUAACUUAAAAUCUAUAACUCCGAAAUUAAUGAUUCCUGUUCCUAUGAUCUUAUUUUAAUAUGUAUAUUAUUAAUGUGUAUUUUGUUCUUAUGUGUGGUGUAAUGUUAAUUUUGCCUAUACCAUGUUUGUUUGAAUUGCUACGACUAGCAGUGAGGUCACGAGUCACCUGAAGAUCAUCCUGGUACCUGGAAUCUCAAGUCCCAGGCAAGUUGUGCCCUUGAUCACUUCUUUUACCCACUCAUGUUCUAAUUAAUCAUAAUGAUCUGCAUAGGUUAAUUUGAUGGGACCUAAUAGGUUACCCUAGAUUGUCUAUCUUUAUACCUUGUUUACCACUGAACUUUUUGGGUAGUACUUGCUAGUGCUUUAUGUGGUUUUGGGUAUGAAGAUACAUUAUUCAUGAUCACACUUUUAUUAUCAGUUUAUUAUUACUGUUCAUGAUAAGAUCAUUAUGUUAAUUGGAACAUGGAGAACCACCCGGGAAAACAGUGCUACCACAAGGGAGGAAUGGGACCCCUUGGCUGAUUAAUUAGGAAAGCUAGUGGAAGACUACCUUACCCGAAAGGGGCAAGGGCAGUAGGGGAGUGGUCAGUGUAGGGAGGCCCUCGGGAGGAUUUUGCUGCGAUGGCGGUCCUGCAAGGGAUUCCUGCAUUGGAGCUUCCUAUAAACUGUAGCGGGUUUUCUGAAGCUAGUGGAACUUUGUAAAGGCCUCGUAGUGUUACCCUGCCUCGCCUCCUCGGUAGAGGUGUAUGGGAAGUCGCGAUCCCUUGGCAGAUGGGUAACAUGACUUGUGGGUAAAGAUGCGCAACCUCUGCAGAGUGUAAAACUGGUAUACUAGCCGUGCUCACGGUCAUGAGCAGCUCGGACCCUCACAUGAUUAAAUUAUGGAACUAAAUUCAAUUUGUCAUAUGCAUUGCAUCGCAGGUGAUGUUGUUACUACUUUUGUUCUACUACUUAAUUGGGCUUGGUAUUUACUUAUACUUAGUAAUUGCUAAUAUAAUUUUGACCAACUUUAAAAGCAAUGCUCAGCUUCAACCAUCCUCUUUGGUAAGCCUUACACUUCACGUGAGCUCCCACCUUUGCCGAGUUCAUGCACAUUAUUCCCCACAACUUGUUGAGCGAUGAACGUAUGUGAGCUCACUCUUGCUGUCUCACACCCCCACAGGUCAAAAACAGGUACCACAGAAUGAGGCGCAUGGAGGAUGCUGUGAUGAGUUCGUGAGAGGUCUAGGCCAUCGUCUCCCAGUCAACUUUGGGUUGCUGGACCGUUGUCUCCCUAUAAUGUAAUUAUUUAUUUUGUAUAGAAUUCCUGUUAUAUAUAAAGAUGUGACAUUCGAUCCUGUGCCACUAUACAUCAUAUGUGUGAGACUUGGUCCCAG
rnacentral:lncRNA from 1 species